UCUCUGGAGACUAGGGUGGUCAGAGAUCCUAGACGAUCCCCCAAAUAACAGACCCCCAUAGCAGGGAGACCUUCACUCAAGUCUCGGGAUGAUGCGAACCCCCAACAACUCACGAGAGACC
rnacentral:pre_miRNA from 14 species